rnacentral:rRNA from 1 species
GUACACGCUGUGACUAGCAUAUCAAUAAGCGGAGGAAAAGAAACUAACAAGGAUUCCCUCAGUAACGGCGAGUGAAGCGGGAAGAGCUCAAAUUUGAAAUCUUUCAAGGUUUUACCUUGACGAAUUGUAGUUUAAAGAAGUGUUUUUCUGCUGAAGUUUUGGUAAAAGUUCUUUGGAAUAGGACAUCAUAGAGGGUGAGAAUCCCGUCUAUGAUUGCGAUUUGUAGCUUUGUGAUACACUUUCAAAGAGUCGGGUUGUUUGGGAAUGCAGCCCAAAACGGGAGGUAAAUUUCUUCUAAGGCUAAAUAUUGGCGAGAGACCGAUAGCGAACAAGUACCGUGAGGGAAAGAUGAAAAGAACUUUGAAAAGAGAGUUAAAUAGUACGUGAAAUUGUCAAAAGGGAAGCGUUUAACACCAGUGUUGUUUUCUGAAAAUCAACCUCUGUUAGCUUUAUGCAUGUUUGUUUAGACCUAAUCAGCUAUCUUGCAUGUUCUAUUGUUUGCAGUGGUGCACUUUUCAGCUUACAGGUCAACAUCAGUUUUUUUUACCGUAAAAAAGUUAAAGAAAGGUAGCUCAUGGCUCCGGUCGUGAGUGUUAUAGUCUUUUUCCUAUGCGGUAGGAGAGACUGAGGUCUGCAGUGUAGGCUAUUUGGCUAGAUACUCAGGUGCUAUGUGAUACCAUUUCAUAAACAACUCGUUGAUUAUGUUUUGUCUAUUGCAUACUCGCUUGUACUAUCAUACCUACGCUUAGGAUGUUGACGCAUGAGAUAUACGC